rnacentral:lncRNA from 1 species
AUGUUGUCGGGCUUUGUUUUUUUUUUAUUAUUUAACUGCUGUGUGUGUGUUCCAAGUCCGGGAAAUGCCGAGCCAUGUGGCCACGAGGGAGCCAGCUGGCAUCUGAGCUGUGGCAGGAGCACCGUCGGGCCCGAGAGCCGACUCAGGAGGGCCAGCAGAGCCUCGCUCCUCCAGGAACACUUCAGCUCUCCUUGGAGGCGGGAGCUGGCGCGUACCUCCCAAAGACGGCAAAUCCAGAGUCUGACAACCAGGACGGUGACUAAGUGUUGCUCGCUGACAGGGCUAGGGCCUUGCAGCCCCCGGAGGGUCCACCUCAGUGGGGAGACAGCCUCUUCCAGCUGCCCUGGGGCCAGGCGAGCCCCUCGUGGGCUUCCAGAGAAGCUCCAUCCGUUUUCAAAGAUGUCAAACCUCACUCGUUCCAGUGGGGCCUGGGUCUUGCCUCCUGUCAGGGCCAGACCAUGGAAGGCUAUUUUCUAUUCCGGGGAUUGUUGUAAUUUAAAUGAUUGUUUUAAUAAAAAUUCUAAGCUGUCAAAAGUGUCUUGGGCUUCCUUGGUUUGCUUGAUGCCCUAGUCACUGAGGCGGCAAGCUGGGCUGGGUGGUAGGGCCGACUCUUGGGGGCUCUGAGGAGACGGGACCUCUGCCCUCCCUGACUGCCCAGCACCCCAACUCCGGCCCCGUGUCACUGGUGAUAGAAGGAUCACCUUUUCCAGGCCGAUGACAGCACCCCUUACUCCACCUUCACCUGGGAACGCUCUUCCUUUGUCCUGUGGGCACUCAGGGUCAUGGAGCAGUCCCUGGACAGGGUCCCAGUGCCAGUUUACUCUCCACACCCCCUGCCUGUCCUCAAUUCCAGACCUGAAAACUAGGGUGCUGGACCAGGCAACCCUUCAAGGUGCCUCUGCUUGCUUCCAGGUGUCCCCGUUCUGGGCUCUGGAAGGUGGGGGGGGGGGGGCUUGCAGAGCCAACAGGGCGCUGGGCACUGGCUGUGGGACAGAUGAGGCCAGCUAUUGCCACAGGGCCACACGACUCACACUUGGGGUUGGGAAGCAUUGCUGUGGAGCUUACGUUUUUUUGUUCUGUUUCUAUUUUUUCAAUCAAUAAAAAUCCUUUAAGACCACA